AAUUAGGUUUUUAACCUGCGGUUUACCGCGGGCAAUCGGUUUAUUUGGUUCUUAUACUAAAUAUUUUGAAUAAAUUUGAUAUCUUAAACUUAUAAAUAUAAAUUUCUAAUGAUUAGUGAAGAAUUGUAAUAUAUGAUUUGGAUAUUAUUGAUUAUUGAUUUCAUGAUUGAAUAUAGUGUUUUUAGGGAUGGAAUGUGAUCAUAUUUUGAUUUCAAAAACGAUAUAGAUUUUUUAUUUUUGUUGAACGGUUUAGAUUGAAGGGAAUUAAUUUUAUUGAACGGUUUAAAUUGAAUCGGAUCAUAUAAAGUUUAGGAGAUUGUUAAGACCAAAUUACCCUUAAUGAUUUUGAAUAGCAAAGAACAAAAUCCAAAAUUGAAAUCAAAAUUGAGGCCAAAUUAGACAAAAUUUCAAUUUGUACUUCCCUUUUAAUAAUAAAGGGAUUGCAACUGACUAAAUUUUGAAGUUCAAAUUUAAGU
rnacentral:sRNA from 1 species